UACGAAGGGGGCGAGCGUUGUCCGGAUUUACUGGGCGUAAAGAGCGCGCAGGCGGUCGUUCAAGUCGAGUGUGAAAGCCCCCGGCUCAACUGGGGAGGGUCACUUGAUACUGAUCGACUCGAAGGCAGGAGAGGGAAGCGGAAUUCCCGGUGUAGUGGUGAAAUGCGUAGAUAUCGGGAGGAACACCAGUGGCGAAGGCGGCUUCCUGGCCUGUUCUUGACGCUGAGGCGCGAAAGCUAGGGGAGCAAACGGG
rnacentral:rRNA from 1 species